rnacentral:rRNA from 1 species
AUUGAACGCUGGCGGAAUGCUUUACACAUGCAAGUCGAGCGGCAGCGCGGGGCAACCUGGCGGCGAGCGGCGAACGGGUGAGUAAUACAUCGGAACGUACCCAGUGGUGGGGGAUAGCCCGGCGAAAGCCGGAUUAAUACCGCAUACGACCUGAGGGUGAAAGUGGGGGACCGCAAGGCCUCACGCCGUUGGAGCGGCCGAUGGCGGAUUAGCUAGUUGGUAGGGUAAAGGCCUACCAAGGCGACGAUCCGUAGCUGGUCUGAGGGGACGACCAGCCACACUGGAACUGAGACACGGUCCAGACUCCUACGGGAGGCAGCAGUGGGGAAUUUUGGACAAUGGGGGAAACCCUGAUCCAGCCAUUCCGCGUGAGUGAAGAAGGCCUUCGGGUUGUAAAGCUCUUUCGGCAGGAACGAAACGGUGGGCUCUAACAUAGCCUGCUAAUGACGGUACCUGAAGAAGAAGCACCGGCUAACUACGUGCCAGCCGCCGCCGUAAUAC